rnacentral:lncRNA from 1 species
AAUGUUUUAAUAUCCCGAUUCAUUUUUAGACGGCUCGGUUAGGCCAAAACAAACAACUGUAGUUGCUAGCUGGACCACCAAAACUUCAACCUCUCGAGUAUAAUUGAAUUGAUGGAUUACAAAUGCUACAGAUUGUUUGAUUGUGAUUGUAUGGUUUCGUAGCCUCAUAGAUAACAUCGGCUUAUCCUGAUUCCAUUUACAUAUAUUUCUGUGCAAACCUCCCUUUGUACCUAAAUCAAACUAGAAAACGUGUCAAUGUCGAUAGACCACCCCACCAAAAAAGUUAAGAAUAACCCAA